AGAGUUUGAUCAUGGCUCAGAGUGAACGCUGGCGGCAGGCCUAAUACAUGCAAGUCGAACGGCAGCACAGCAGAGCUUGCUCUGUGGGUGACGAGUGGCGGACGGGUGAGGAAUACGUGGGAAUCUGCCCAGUCGUGGGGGAUAACGUAGGGAAACUUACGCUAAUACCGCAUGCGCCCUUCGGGGGAAAGCCGGGGACCUUCGGGCCUGGCGCGAUUGGAUGAGCCCACGUCGGAUUAGCUAGUUGGCGGGGUAAAGGCCCACCAAGGCGACGAUCCGUAGCUGGUCUGAGAGGAUGAUCAGCCACACUGGAACUGAGACACGGUCCAGACUCCUACGGGAGGCAGCAGUAGGGAAUAUUGGACAAUGGGCGCAAGCCUGAUCCAGCCAUGCCGCGUGAGUGAAGAAGGCCCUCGGGUUGUAAAGCUCUUUUGUCCGGAAAGAAAAGCGCCGGGUUAAUACCCUGGUGUCCUGACGGUACCGGAAGAAUAAGCACCGGCUAACUUCGUG
rnacentral:rRNA from 1 species